AAAACAGAAAACUUAAUUGGAUACUAUAUGUAUAAAUGAACACAAUUGUAAUGAACUACAAUAUCGUCUUAAAAUAGAAACGAAAUUUCAUUUAGAAAACAUUAUAAUGCUCAUGACUUCACAUGUUAAACAGCGGAAGAAUUUUCGGGCAGAUCUAAACCAAUCUAAACUAAAUUCGAAUCUAAAACCAUACUUGCAAAGAUUCAACAAAACCCCAAUAACUCACGGAAAUGAUAUAAAUACACACACGAUCUAUUCUUUCCAUAGUAACUCACUAAUGAAAUGAAGGUCCAUGCCUUAAACUUUAAACAGAAUUGAUGAAGAGAUGAAGAAGGAAAACCCAGGCUGAUUAUGUCAUGCUAAAAUAGUCGACAACUCAUUAUGGUCUAAAUUCAAACUCAAAAUAACCAUGGUAAUUAUUUUAUCUAUAGUAGAGUUUUCUGUCAAACACAACCAAACCAUCACUUACCAUGCUACCAAAAGUUUUCUGUCAAGAAAUAGAAAUGGUCUUGCUGGUAAACUUGUAAGAAACAUAUAGGAAGCAAAUUACAAUCUUAAAAGAAAUAAACCAACGAGUACACAUGGGAAUCAAUCCGAAUCAUUCACAUCUUCAACAUUUAAACUUGAUGCUCAAGGUUUCAUCGUAGUACCCGAAUAAAAUAAUCAAUAACAAAUGAAAAUUAGUUUAGGAAUUAGGAAUAGUGAGAGAUUCGAUAACAGCAGCAAAUCAGCACUUCAACACUUCAAUUCACAACUUCCUUAAGCCAUUUUUGAACCUAAAUCAACAAGAAAUCUUUCGAAAUUGUUUGAAUUAUUACUAACAAUGAAAAAAAGGACAAUUUCCCUCAAAUUUGAAUCAAAGCAAUUCAGAGUUUCUCUUUAUUUUCAGG
rnacentral:lncRNA from 1 species